AGAUUGAACGCUGGCGGCAGGCCUAACACAUGCAAGUCGAGCGGCAGCACGGGUACUUGUACCUGGUGGCGAGCGGCGGACGGGUGAGUAAUGCCUAGGAAUCUGCCUGGUAGUGGGGGAUAACGCUCGGAAACGGACGCUAAUACCGCAUACGUCCUACGGGAGAAAGCAGGGGACCUUCGGGCCUUGCGCUAUCAGAUGAGCCUAGGUCGGAUUAGCUAGUUGGUGAGGUAAUGGCUCACCAAGGCGACGAUCCGUAACUGGUCUGAGAGGAUGAUCAGUCACACUAGGAACUGAGACACCGGUCCAGACUCCGUACGGGAGGCAGCAAGGUGGGGAAUAUUGGACUAAAGUGGGACGAAAGCCUAGACUCCAG
rnacentral:rRNA from 1 species